CGAAGCCGCGAGGUGGAGCAAAUCCCAAAAAUAACGUCUCAGUUCGGAUUGUAGUCUGCAACUCAACUACAUGAAGCUGGAAUCGCUAGUAAUCGCGAAUCAGAAUGUCGCGGUGAAUACGUUCCCGGGUCUUGUACACACCGCCCGUCACACCAUGGGAGUCAGCAACGCCCGAAGCCGGUGACCCAACCGAAAGGAGGGAGCCGUCGAAGGUGGGGCCGAUAACUGGGGUGAAGUCGUAACAAGGUAAC
rnacentral:rRNA from 1 species